UGACCCACCUGCCUCAGCCUUCCAAAAUGCUGGGAUUACAGGGGUGAGCCACCUGGCCUGCAUCUUCAUUUUUGAUGUGAAGAACAUGGGGAAGGGAAUCUCUCCUAAAUACUAUGGUACCAUUUAGAUUUUGGGUGAGCAGUGAGGAUCAUUGUCAGAUUUAAGAUUUAAAUAAUGGAUCUGACAGGUGAAGGAAUAGCUAACUUCUCUUGCAGAAUCUCUAACCCUUUGAUGACUUACUAACAUGUGAUCUCACUUUUCAUUGGGCCUUUGCCUUGUCCACCACUGAUUUAUCUCUUGUUGACAUACCUGCCCUUACGGUGUUGAGAUUCAUAUACAUGUAUGCAUAGCCUCCUCCAUGGGGACAGGUCUCUUUUCCCUCUUGGGGUGGGGUGAAGGCAGACUUAUGAUCUGGCCUCCAUUAGUGUUCUUAAUGCAAUCUCAGUAGUUGGGGAAGCUUCUCUUUGCUUGUGCAGUAUUUCAUUAAAUGUUUGGCCACAGAGCUGAAGUGUGGACACUGGUGAGUGGAGAGGAAACAGUGUGGCCUGGCCUUUGCUUUGGGGCAGGCCUUUCCCUAAUGUCUAGGAAACUAACACUGUGGAUGGCCAAGUGGAUGAGUGGUCUCUGAAAUCAGUGGGGAGUUGCUGCUUCAACAUUGCAACCAAUGAAUGCUGAUGGCCAAACUCACAAUCCACCCUAAUACUAACACAUCACUGGAAAAGGUAAACUGACUAAUUAGGAUGUCUGGGGCACAGGAGAAAUUUUAUAAAUGUUGAUUAAUUUGAGGCUUCCUUCCAAUUCUCUUUGUAAUAUCUUGUUGUUUUCUUUACUAGGGAUUUCAGAACAUAAGCUACUCUCCACAGUAAACACAGGCCCAAGAAAACUUGACAGAAAAGGAGUGGAGGAUGUGAACUGGAUAGAUAUGGGAUAAAGUAAUAAAAGGUUGUUAACGUUUAGUCAGUGGUUAAUGUGUGCCAGACACUGUAAUAACCUGCAUAUCUAAUUAACAUAUGUCUAUUGCCAUUUAAUUUUCACAAUAGCAUGAGGCAGAUACUACUUGAUCUCCAUUUUGUACAGGAGAAAGCUGAGUCUUAGAGAAGCUUAAUUACUUGCCAAUAUCAUGCAGUUAGUAAGUGUCAGAGCUGGGAUGCAAAUGUAAGUAUGUCUGACUCUGAAUCCCAUGCUUUUUAUACCCAUGAGAUGCUGGGAACUCAGUAGAUAAAGGUGAGAGUGGGUGGUUAUGGAUAGAGAACAGUAGUAUGUUUGAGAAAGAAUAACUGGUCAUUGCAGGGAUGAAGCAACAGAUGUCUCUUCUGGUGACAGUUUGAAACCACAUUGUAAGUAAUUUGUGCUACUAAUAAUUUGUUGUUACUAAUAAUGGAUUAUUUGUGAGUGACUUACAUAAAAAUAAAUAGGAGAAAAUUUAAUGUCACUUUUACCUGGAUUAUGAUGUGUUUCUUUUUAAGUGAGAGGGAAGGAAGUUGAGUUACAGAUAGUUAACUCCCACAUGUAUGUCCUGUACUAGUGAAGUGAUACCAGGUAUAUAUCAACUGUUACGGGAAUGAGGUGCAAAUAAGGUAAGAAUCACUAGACUGAGGAUGUUACGCAUGGCGGAUGUUACAACCCUCAUGAACUUUGCUCUCAAAUCUCUUCUCCUUUGGCUCCUAGGGUCUUUGAAUAGAGGUGAGGAGGGGAUGUUUGUAUCUGGGAGCAAACCUCUAUUAAAUUGGACACAGAGAUCAGAAGCAACCAAGUCAAAGCUGCUUCCCACCAAGCUGUGUGGUCCUGGCCAACUGUUUUGAUUGGUGGGAUUUGGGGUUCUUUCCAGGUUGUCUCCUCUACGCAAAAUGCUGGUAGACACCAUGAUGUGCCUGCUCAGGCCCCACAGCUUCCCAUCCUCUGCUUGGAACUGAGUGAGAUACUUUGGCUGUUGGAGGAUUGCCAGAUGUUACUGCUGUAAAAAGAUGGGGACAAAGAAGUGCUUCUGAAGUCUGAUGCACUACAUGUUACUCAAGCUCAUAAAAUUCAUGCAGCAAAUGCUUUUGGUGUUCUGCUCUGGAUCCCCCAGCACUCACCCUUGUACCAGCUGAUAGCUCCCUACUAUGACAACGCUGAACUAAAUUCAGUCUUGGGUGCUUUUUCCACUAUUAUGUUUGCUCCAGUUGCUGCUGCCAUUGUUGUAAAUAAAAGAUGCAGGUUUUACACAGCAGAGUGAACCUCU